CUGCGAGUUCGCGGGAGAGUAAGUUGUUGCCAGGGUUUUUUUUUUAUACUUUAAACAUUGAUUUUAUUUUUUAUGUUUUUAGAUGUUCAUGUUUUUGAAUGUUUUAUUCAAAUAAUAUAAAAAAUAAAAUAUAUAUUGACAUGGAUUAAACAAAGAUAUAUAUUAUUCUAUGUUGUAUAAACAAAUUGGCAAAAUAGAGAUGGAAGAUAAAAAUAUGGUCAAAGUAAUAAGAGUCUAUGGUGAAUGCCUAGGA
rnacentral:misc_RNA from 1 species